ACCUUAAACCCUCAACUCUGAAACCUGAACCCCGAAGACCCACGCAUGCAUAGUUCAAGGUAGACGAAGACAGUAGCGGCGAGGAAGUGCAUCCCUCAGUGAGCCUCAGAUUGGAUUAGCGGCAGUAGCGGGUCCACUCUGCCGCUUUCUGGCCGCCUCUGACGACGAGCUGAGCAGAAACACCUCGUUGGCGGGCAACUGAGGGCGGGGAAAGACACCAGGAAGGCAAGAUGGACGAGGACAGCAGGCGGCGGCAGGCGAGGCGACGCGCGGGGCGCCUGCAGACCCGCCAAGGCCGACACCGCCACCAGCACCAGGCCGUUCUUCGAGCGCUCCUCCCUCUCCCUUUGUGCACUCACGCAGUUCCCACCACGGCAAGCGCCCUUCGCCUGCGAGUAAUGCAACAAGACCUCACGCAGCACAGGUCAGUCCGCCGCCCUCGCCUUUCCUUCCUUCCCGCCAACUUGUGGCAUGCCUUCAGCUAAGCCUUGCCGUCUCACCUCAGGCCGCGCCGCGCACCGCUGCCUUUGUGCGCCCACGCCUCGGGCCACCUGGGCACCAACUUGCUGGACUCUCAGGCUGCGUGGUGGAUCAAAGCUUCACAUUUUCAAAGAUGCAGGGACCGCCACGUUGAGACCUGACGGCUUCCUGCAACUUCCUUCAUGUUAUGCGUGUGCUCCUAUUCACUGUUUCUUCAUCCAUAUCAGUCUUCCAGUGUAGAGCUAAACAAUAACAGCUUCGCUUCCAUUAUGUUCUAAUGUUCUCGUGUUCCUAUUCACUCUUCC